CCGCUCCGCCGCCGGCCCCCGAGCGAGCUCGGCGCGUCCGGGCGGGAGCUGAGGGCUCCCCGGGUCCCCAAAGGGCUGCAGCCCCGAGGGAAUGCCCUCAACCGUGCCCCGGGGGGGCAGAAGCAGACUGCAGGGCGGUGGGAUCGGCCCGGGCCACGGCCGCCGCAGGGCUCCGCGCCGCUCCCAGCCCUCCCUCCCUCCGCCGGGAUGGGACUCUGCGAUGACAUCACCGCGGAGACCCGCGGCCUCCCCGCCCCCGGCCCGGGACCCCGGCGCGGAGAUUGACAGGUGUCGCUCGCAAGGACAAUGCCUUCCAGGUGUCACCGUCACAGUUCCAUUCCUCCUAGACCGCCCUCUCUGCCCCUUUCCCUUCCAACUCUCUUACUUCCUCGCUCCCCCCCCCCCCCCCCCCGCAUUUUUUCUACUCUCAGAGAAGCUCUCCCAUCUCCCCCCACCCCUCCGUCUCGCUC
rnacentral:lncRNA from 1 species